AUCAUUGGGACUCUGUCAAGGUGAUGCUCUCCCUAGGUCAACAAGUACAGUAAACCCAGCUUUGCCUGACCAACGGACCUCCCUGCUUAUCUUUGGCCAAGCCUUAGACUUCAUCCUACUGUGAAAGAAUAGAAGCAAAGGCAAAGAACACAGGAACAGAACAAAAUGCCAAGAAUGUUCGAUUUAAAGAUUACGAAGAAGCACGCCAACAGGAAAGAACCUGAGCCACACUGCAUGGCUGACUCCUGGAAAUGCAGGGUGCUGACAGAGUAAUGCCACUCUGAUAAUUAGGGAAAGAAGAGCAAGAAAUCUAAAUGUGGAUCAAGAUUAAUUGAGCAUCUCCUUGUUUAUAUCUAUCCUUUUGGAGAAAAAUCAAGAAGAAAUACCAAGCUAUCAGUGAAACACUCUGUUGAUCCACAGGAUGCCUGGAGCAGCUAGACACUCUCCAAGUUCUGAACUCUGUGAUUCUGCUGUUCUCUGCUGAAGCUGUCUUUCCCUGAGCCUGCAGAAACUGGAGAAACACUGACUACGCUAGAGGCAUCAAGAUUUGGAGAGACAGACCUGUAAAAUCACUAACCUUGGAAGCUCGGUGGUUAAGAGCCUAAUUUUCUUUUGGUAAAAUUAUAAUAAUCACUUUGACUCCCUGUCUUGUCCUGCCCACUCUGGCCUGCCCUAAUCCUCCCGGAUGAUAAUAGGCAAGAACAGCAAUCUAUGAAACAGGCUGCACAAUCACCUCCAUCCCAAGCCAGGACAGUGAACUCCUGACAUUUCCCAGUCCAAAGUUCCUCCCAGACGGUGGGGAUGAGAACUAGAAAAGGUGAGACAAUGUGAGUAUGCAUCUAAAUGAUGGCUCAUUUACAUAGACUUUGACCAAAGUCUGCGGAGAAAAUAAAAGGCGUCAUAUCCUACACAGAAGGUCUUAGCUCAAAUGAUCACUUCAUGGACUCAGUCUUCCCAAAAUCCUCCUAGAAUUUCCACCAAGGUGGGGGCUCUGCCUGUAAUUAUAAUUUACUUCAUUUACAUGAGUUUUUUCUCAUUAUGUCAUUGUCAUGAGAAGAGAGCCCCAUUUCAUAGGCAGCUAGGAAUGGUUUGGCCUUCAGUUGGUUGAACUUCAACAGUUUUCUUGGCUCGCCUUGUUUUGAUCUUUGUGAAGAUAUACAGUUCUCCACAUUGCUUUUCCCUACUUCUUCAGAAAGCUUUGGUGGCCUGUGUUGGUUCCUUCAAAAUCUGAUUUCAUACAUUUUACUUCAGCUUCUUUUUCGGAACUAUACUGCUAUUACAAUGAAAGUUUUCACCACAUACCUCUGUUUUCUG
rnacentral:lncRNA from 1 species